rnacentral:rRNA from 1 species
AAAAUUUAAAAUAAAAUACUAAAAUAGUAAUUAAAUAUUUAUUGAAACUUAAAUAAUUUGGCGGUAUUUUAGUUCAUUUAGAGGAAUCUGUUUAAUAAUUGAUAUUCCACGAAUAAAUUUACUUAUUUUAUAAUUUUGUAUAUCGUUGUUAUAAAAAUAUUUUUUAAUAAAAUUAAUGUUUAAAAAUUAAUAUGAAAAAUUAAAUCAGAUCAAGAUGCAGAUUAUAGUUAAGAAUAUAAUGGAUUACAAUAAAUUUAUUUAAAUGAAUUUUAUUUUGUAAUAUUUAAUUGAAGGUGGAUUUAAAUGUAAUUUUAUUUAAUUUAAUAAAAUGAUUAAAAAUUAAAAUAUGU